GUUGAUGUACAUACAGUUGGUAGGUACGGUGACUUCACAGAAAGAAGUUAGCAGGGAAAAAAUACAAAAGGACAAAAACAAGAUAAUUUCUCCACUGAUUUAAGAUCUCCUGUUUUUUAUGUUCUAUAGUUUCUUCAUAAUAUUUACUAAAUACUUAGAGGAAGACCCUUUGAAACAACUUAACAGAUAAGUAUGUUUUUCUGUGUUUAUCUGGUCAAGACUAUGAGUCAUGCUUGACUCUACUGCAUCUCUCUGACAGUUGUUAAGGAGCUCCAGUCCUCGCUAUCACCUUUGGACGUUUGUCUCCAGUUCCAUCAGCCUUCCAGUCCAGAAUCUUCAGCCUUCCCACCCAGACCCUUCUGCUUUCCCCUGGAGACUUGCAUGGGACUCACUCUGCAGUGAGCUCCAGUCUUGUGACUUUCAGUUGGAUCCCCUAGCUCUGCAGCGCAUAGAUGGCCCAUUUGCACCCUUCCUCCCUUGACUCCACAGGCAGCCAUUGUAAGCCUACUCGGUAAAUCCUCUAGAUAUCGUACUAUGUAUUUAUAUUAAACCUAUUCCUGUAGUGAA